rnacentral:rRNA from 1 species
AACGCGAAGAACCUUACCUGGGCUCGAAGCGCAGUGGACCGGGGUAGAAAUAUCCCUUUUCGCAAGAACUGCUGCGGAGGUGCUGCAUGGCUGUCGUCAGCUCGUGUCGUGAGAUGUUGGGUUAAGUCCCGCAACGAGCGCAACCCUUAUCGUUAGUUGCCAGCGAGUCAAGUCGGGCACUCUAGCGAAACCGCCCCGGAUAACGGGGAGGAAGGUGGGGAUGACGUCAAGUCCUCAUGGCCUUUAUGUCCAGGGCUACACACGUGCUACAAUGGCCGGUACAAACCGUCGCAAACCUGCGAAGGGGAGCUAAUCGGAAAAAGCCGGCCUCAGUUCGGAUUGGAGUCUGCAACCCGACUCCAUGAAGCUGGAAUCGCUAGUAAUCGCGGAUCAGCACGCCGCGGUGAAUACGUUCCCGGGCCUUGUA